rnacentral:lncRNA from 1 species
GGGGUAUGCGCAAAAACCUGAAUUUUAAGUUUUUGAUCUUUUAGGUUUGGGAAGAGAGAAUAAAUUAGAAAAAAAUUAUUUUCUUUUCUAUCUUUUUUUACCCUUUCAUCUCCUCCAGAAGUUCAUCUUCAACCUCUAAAAAGAUUCUUGAGAUUUGAAGAAAGGAUCCAGAUCAGCCAAGAAGAAGGUCUUCACAUGACCUAGCACUUUUGAGAAGAUCGAUCAAAUCGGGGCUUUGAGUAAAUUUUUUGUAGAGGUCAGAUGUGUG